rnacentral:rRNA from 1 species
GACGAACGCUGGCGGCGUGCUUAACACAUGCAAGUCGAACGGAAAGGCCCUGCUUUUGUGGGGUGCUCGAGUGGCGAACGGGUGAGUAACACGCGUGUAACCUGCCCCUGACUUUGGGAUAACUUCAGGAAAAUGGGGCUAAUACCGGAUAGGAGCUCCUGCUGCAUGGUGGGGGUUGGUAAGUUUCGGCGGUUGGGGAUGGACUCGCGGCUUAUCAGCUUCUUGGUGUGGUAGUGGCUUACCACGGCUUUGACGGGUAGCCGGCCUGGGAGGGUGACCGGCCACAAUGGGACUGCGAUACGGCCCAGAAUCCUACGGGAGGCAGCAGUGGGGAGUAUUGCACAAUGGGGGGAAGCCUGAUGCAGCAACGCCGCGUGCGGGAUAACGGCCUUCGGGUUGUAAACCGCUUUCGCCGGUGACGAAGAGUGAGUGACGGUAAUGGGUAAAGAAGCACCGGCUAACUACGUG